CAUUUGUCUGCCUAAUUGAACACCGUUUCUUCCUUAGUUUGCUCUGUGUUCUUUUCGUGUGUUCUUAAGUUCUACGCAUUGUAUGUGUUUGUAGUUGCUUGGAUCAACUCCCUGUCCUAUGUCAAGCUUUCCCAAUCGCUCGCCCAAGUCUAGUGUCCUUAGAAGCAUCUGUGUGUGGUCCAUCAGUUUAGGUGGUAGCUUUCCUGCCAGUUAUGCCAUCCUAGACACCGCAUAUAUACACAUCUGAGCUAACCGACAUUCUAAUUGGCCAGUCAUUCGUCUAACCGCUCCCUGCUUACAACAGCGGAGCCGAAUAAGACAAGCUCCUGAGUUCCCUACCUCUAGCUACGAAACAAUUUGCAAGAACGGUUGAAAUUGAUCUAAGAAUCAUUUGGUCGUCCGGUUUCCUUUCCUCUGAAUAUCUUCUUCUUAUGACAUCUGAAAAUCGAAAGAAACAUAAGAUUAUUGAAAAAGUAACUGAGAAAAAUAGGAGAUACAACAUAUAACCUCUAACAAAAGGCCACAUCUUCGUUUCUUUGAACACCUUUUUGCCGUGCCGCCCAGCAAAUUAAGGGUUGCCUUAAGAUGGUUUCAAAACGGGAGAUCUUUUAAGGCUCGGCAAAGAGUGGCAAAAUCUUCCUCUGUUUCAACCGGAAGAGAGUCAAGGGGAAACAAGAACUCAGAAGGGAUUGACUGAUGG